rnacentral:rRNA from 1 species
UGGGGGAUAUUGCACAAUGGGGGAAACCCUGAUGCAGCAAUGCCGCGUGAGGGAAGAAGGUCUUCGGAUUGUAAACCUAAGUAGUCAGGGACGAAAGAAAUGACGGUACCUGAAGAGUAAGCUCCGGCUAACUACGUGCCAGCAGCCGCGGUAAUACGUAGGGAGCGAGCGUUGUCCGGAUUUACUGGGUGUAAAGGGUGCGUAGGCGGGUUUGCAAGUCAGGCGUGAAAUACCGAGGCUCAACUUCGGGGCUGCGCUUGAAACUGUGAAUCUUGAGUGAAGUAGAGGCAGGCGGAAUUCCUAGUGUAGCGGUGAAAUGCGUAGAUAUUAGGAGGAACACCAGUGGCGAAGGCGGCCUGCUGGGCUUUAACUGACGCUGAUGCACGAAAGCAUGGGGAGCAAACA